rnacentral:lncRNA from 1 species
UUUGAGAACCAAUGAGGUUUUUUGAAGUGGCAGUCACAAACUUUUGAUUAGUCAUAAAAUUUUGUUUUUGUCAAGAAUUUUAGUGACCCUUUGAUUCUCUAUAUGGUGGUCACCUAAUCUUGUCUUUUGAUGAGGAUUUCAGUGACCUCUUUUGACUUUUUUCUUUGUUUUUUUCAUCUCUAAUUUUUGCCUAAGUCAUUUUUUCAGGUUUUGACUUAGCGGGCUUUGUUUUUUUUUGCUGAAAG